UUGAAAGUUUUGGGUGGAGCUUUUGGGUGGAACUCAAAAAAAAAAAAAAGAAUUCACAUCUGUUUUCAUUUACACCCUGUGGUGCAGAGAUGAUGCUUCUGUGCUGUCUGCUUGUGUUUUCAAUGACAGAACACACACUUGCACAGUCAAUAAAUCCACUGCAGAAUGACCUUCAUAUCACUGAAAAGCAGCCUGUCAUGCUGUCCUGCAAAUAUGAGGGAAGUGCAAACAGUCUACAUUGGUAUCGACAGUAUCCUGGAUCCAAACCUGAAUUUGUGCUCCUUGUCAUGGAAGCAUCCACAAAAAAUGUAAUAUAUGCAGAUCCCCGUAUCCCUGGAAUGGAUGGAAAAAUAAGUAUGAAUGAUAGGAAAGUGGAUCUGAUCAUCUCGUCCGCUGAAGUGACAGACUCUGCUCUGUAUUACUGCGCCCUGCAGCCCACAGUGACAGGAAACACAUCAACACUGUACAAAAACUGCUAUGAGAAGUUCUUUUUGUGUAAAACGUUAAAUAUCAUCUACAAUAUUAGUGCAAUUAAAAUAAUAUGCAUUUACUUUCUAAAAGCAUUGGUUUUCUUUCACUGGGAUUAA